CUUCUCCGCGCAGCGAGUGCUGUGACCACAGUGGGUUGAAACCGCGUAGGCUGGUCCCAACCUCAGCGGGGAAUUUUUUUUUGUUUUUUAAUAUUUAUUUGGCCGCGCCAGGUCUUAAUUGCGCCAUGUAGGAUCGUCAGUCUUCAUUGCAGCAUACAGGACCUUGUAGUUGCAUCAUGUGGACUCCUAUUUCCCUGACCAGGGCUGGAACCGGGGGCCCUCUGCAUUAUGAGCACAGAGUCUUAGCCACUGGACCACCAGGGAAGUUCCAUCAGCGGGGGAAUUUUAAUACAUUUCUCUCAUUAAUUUGCAACAGGGCCGCGAUUAAUUGUAGAAAGUAGGCAUCAUAUCCAGUCCCUAGCUCGUUAUGUUUAAUAAUGAAUGGAUAAGUGGGGACGCAGUACCAAAACAUUUAGCAAUCAUAAAGGAAUGAGAUGAGAAAUUACUGCUUUCCUAGACUUAUAAGAUAGGCUGUUGUCCUGGAGAGAUAAAUAAAUGGUAUUAUAAAGUUUCUUUUUUAUAAAAGCAAUUUCCAUGAAGCGUGUAAGAUACCUAAUGACCUUUUUCAUAGGCCAGCUUGGCCAGUGAACCUCAGUUUACCUCAACUGUUAACUUGUAGACUAGGAGGGACGGACAUUUCUUGUGUAUUUACCAGUGCUAGAUCCUCGGCUAACCGUUUUACUGCAUACUGUCUUUAAUUUUUACGAUGAUUUUCUGAAGUACGUGUUCUCUCUCUUUUUAACAGAUGAAUUCAUUUAGGCCAAGAGAGAUGAAGUGACUAAUUGAAGGUCACACAGUGUCCAGGAUGGAUUCCAGACUUUCUGAUACAUUUAUUGACCUGCACUAUCUUGUGGAUAUGUGAGUGAAUUCCACACCUCCCAUUUUACAGAUGAAGCCACUGAGAUACAGAGUAACUGACUAAAUAGUCACCACCCCACCCCUGGAGCCUCACAUGACUCUUUCAGAGUUGUCCGGUAUGUGACUGUGAUGCGUGAGGCACAGCAGGCUGUGAUAGAGACUAAUUGAUGGUGGUCUCAGCCUCUCUGACCACUUCAGUUACCAUCUGCACAUGGAUGAUGCCCAGAUCUCUCUCCAGACCAGACUAUCCAAUUGUUCACACGGACAACUUCACUGGGACGUUUUGAAGACUCAGCAGAAUGCAGCUCCUGCUCUUCCCCUCUUGCUCCUCCUCCAGUGUCCUGUCACGUGUGUGUGGGAUCUCAUUCCCUGAUCAGGUGCUGAACUUGGACCUCCUGCAUUGGGAGCUCGGAGUCUUACCCACUGGACCACCAGGGAAGUCCCAAAGGAGGUGUUUUCAGAAAAAAUUACUUAGAUGACACGUGAUCUUGUCACUGUAAUGUGGUAAUUGAGGCUGUGACUCUGGAGCUAACCUGAUGGGGACUGAAUUCUGACUCAGCCACUUCUUAUAUGACCUUGGCCACACCACAUGCCAUGCAUGGGAUCUCAGUUGCCUGACCAGGGGUUGAAGCCAUGCCCCUUGCAAUAGAGGCACAGAGUCUUAAGCACUGGACUGCCAGGGAAGUUCCCGGAUCUGCAUUACUCUGGGAUGAAUUUGCUGUAUAAAGCAGUUUGGGAUCAGAAUUCAGUUGACUAUGUGAUGAAGCUGCUGGGCUCACUGGUGUAGCAUCUCUCCUGGCUCUGGAAGCUCCUCCUAAGUGGAUCCUUAUUUGGAGACUGCUUUGAUAGGGCUAUUAUUAAUUUGGAAUGAUAAGUUCUAUUCAAAAAACAUGUAACUGUAGCAGGUGUUUCCUCCCUCCAGCCUAGGUAUAUUGAUAGGGUAUUAGUUGAGGAGCUGUUGAGUGGUAGUACACCCAUCAUGUUCUAGCUCUGUCCUCAUCUGCUCUUUUUGGAACUCUCGUCCCAUCCAGUUUCUUGCCUCUGACUCAAAAUGGAAGGAGGGUGAUUCAUACACAACAGAGCAUCCACGUAUUUCAUGGCAGCUACUAUCUGCCAGAGAUGAUGACAAAAGGUGGCUAACUCAUACAUGGCAUGUACCAGGAACUGCUCUAAGCACCUUACAUUUAUAAAUUCUUGAUGUGGUAGGUGCUCUGUACUGGGUUAUAUGGUGUUCCCCUAAAAAUUGUAUCCACCCAGAAUGUGAUUUUAUUUGGAAAUAAAGUCUUUGUAAGAUAUAAUCAAGUUAUGAAGUCAUUACUUGAUUGGGCCAUAAUCCAGUGCCUGGUGUUAUUACAACAAGUGGGAGACGACACAGACAGAAGACAACCAUGUUGAGAUGUAGGCAGGGUUUACUGGCAUCUAUUGGGAGCAGGAAGAGGCAAGGAAGGAUACUUCCCUAGAGCCUUUAGAGGGAGUGUGGCCCUGCUGACACCUAUAUUUUGGACUUCUAGCCUCUAGAACUGUGAGAGGAUAAAUUUGUGUUGUUUAAAGCCACCCAGUUUGUAGUAUUUGUUACGACAGCUCUAGGAAACCAAUGCAUGCUCUUACUGUCAUCUCUGUUUUCAGAUAAGGAAACUGAGGCCUGGAGAGGUCAAAUACUCAGAAAUCUCUUUAGGCCACUGCUUUGAUCCCUGGGCAUUCAUUGUAUUUUUUGCUAUUGUUAUUAUCAGCUCUGCACCUUCACUACAGCCUUCCGCUUAUGGUAGUGCUGGGGCUGAGCUGCUCAGAGGGCUCCUUUCUGUAACAUAGCAGGCUGUGGCAUUUCCCCCUCCUCGCCCUCUUCCCACUGUAAAGCAGAAAUGCUUACCUCUCAGGAGGCUUUUGGUUGAAGCCUGAUGAUUUCAGCAGGUCUCUUCCUGGCCGUACCCCUGCAGGUGAAAUCAGACUUUUCAUUUCCUUGCAAUGUCAGGGAAGUAUCAGUGAUAGGUCAGGGGAGGGUCACCAAACUUCUUCUGGCAAGUGUUUUUAUGCUUCCCGUUUGUGGCCUGCUGUAUUUCCUAGAAUCCCUGCCAGUAGACAGCUCAAGUCUUGUUUUUCUUUGGCGCUUUCAGGAUCUCACACAUAGUUUACAUGCUACGUCUCACAGUCUAUGGCCGUGAGCAGAGAAGGAGCAGCUUCUUGGUAGCACUGUGAGGACCCUGGUCACUUGUUCUUGAUUAAGUCGACCCACUGCAGUGGCUCUCUGCCUUGAUAAAAGGAAUGGGAGGAUAAGGGCAUUGUUUGACCCAGCUCAUCUCCCUGAACAGCACCUCGUCUGCCGUGGUCUCUUCUGCUGGCAUCCCAGAAGAGGGUUCCUCCCUUUGUCCCAGUGCUGGCCACAGAAUCCUGCCUGUUUUCUCAUAUAGACCUUUUCCUUUGGAUCCUAAUCUUAUUCUCAGCUCCUCUUACUAGACUGUGUAUCUGUUUUGUUUGCUGCUGUAUCCGAGGACUGAGUAAAGACUUGGCACUUAUUAGCCCAUCAAGAAAUAUUUAUUGAAUGAAGGAGUGAAUAUUGACCACAAAGUUUUGGAAUCCUGCUUUUUCUUGCUUCAUACUGAAGCCAGGCACCAGAUUUAGAACUUUAGAGGUCUAAGCAAUGGGAAGAUUAUAGUUGUUACUGUUGUUGUUGUUCAGUUGCUAAGUCAUGUCUUAAUCUUUGGGACCCCAUGGACUGCAGCAUGCCAGUCUUCCCUGUCUUUUCACUUUCUCUUGGAGUUCGCUUAGAUUCAUGUUCAUUGGGAGAUUAUGAUGAUCCGUAUAAUUUCAGCCCUGAGUAUGUAUUUCAGAAACAAUAUUAAGCACAAAAUAAGCAUAAGGAAGUCUAACAAAGUAUAAGGGAAAUCCAGCAAAAUUUUGAUAUUUACCAUAAUGACUACCUGGAUGAAUAGAAAAUAAUUUAAAACAUUCGUUAUUGUUGUUUCUGCUUUCCCAGUUCCCUGAGCGUGUGCUGUCAGGUAAUACUGCCUGAACCAGCCCUUCCCUGGCUUUGAAUUUCACCUUCAUUUCCUCAUAAUUCCAUCUGCUGAACCUGCCAGCCAGCCCUUUUCAUCGCCCAGUGGUGUCCAGACCACUGAGAGUCCAGCCUGGGCUAGUGCUCUGGGUUCCCUGGGGCCUUGCCAAGAAAGUCACAUAGAACAUGUACACUGCUGCAGGGCUCUUCACAGUGAGAAUUUCCAUGCUGAAUUGGGAUUUAGAGUCAGCAUAGCAUUUUAAAAGUUCUAUUUAUUUUAUUUUUGGUUGCACUGGGUCUUUGUUGCUGCACGUGGGCUUUCUGUAGUUGCGGUGAGUGGGCUGUCUCUUUGUUGCAGUGCCUGGGCUUCUCGUGGUGGUGGUCUCUCUUUGUGUGGAGCACAAAGGUGCAAGGGCUUUAGUAGUUGCGGGCUCAGUAGUAGCAGUUCACAGGCCUUAGAGUGUAUGGGUUUCAGUAGUUGCGGCUUGCAGGCUCUAGAGCGAUGGCUCAGAAGGUGUGGUCCACAGGCUUCGUUGCUCUGUGGCAUGUAGAAUCUUCCCAGACCAGGGAUUGAACUCAUGUUCCCUGCAUUGGCAGGCAGAUUCUUAUCCAUUGCACUAUCAGGGAGGUCCUUAGCUUAGCAUUCUGUGCCAAGUGAUUACACUUGACUCUUUUUCAUUGUAGUAAAUUAGAUAUAUCAAUAACCUCAGAUAUGCAGAUGACACCACCCUUAUGGCAGAAAGUGAA